ACGGGAGGCAGCAGUGGGGGAUAUUGCACAAUGGAGGCAACUCUGAUGCAGCAACGCCGCGUGAGGGAAGAAGGUCUUCGGAUUGUAAACCUCUGUUUUUGGUGAAGAAUAACUGACGGUAGCCAAGGAGGAAGCCACGGCUAACUACGUGCCAGCAGCCGCGGUAAUACGUAGGUGGCAAGCGUUGUCCGGAUUUACUGGGUGUAAAGGGUGCGCAGGCGGGACUGCAAGUUGGAUGUGAAAUACCGAGGCUCAACCUCGGAGCUGCAUCCAAAACUGUAGUUCUUGAGUGGAGUAGAGGUAAGCGGAAUUCCGAGUGUAGCGGUGAAAUGCGUAGAUAUUCGGAGGAACACCAGUGGCGAAGGCGGCUUACUGGGCUCUAACUGACGCUGAGGCACGAAAGUGUGGGUAGCAAACAGGAUUAGAUACCCUGGUA
rnacentral:rRNA from 1 species